UACGUAGGGUGCGAGCGUUGUCCGGAAUUAUUGGGCGUAAAGAGCUCGUAGGCGGUGUGUCACGUCGGCCGUGAAAACCUGGGGCUCAACUCUGGGCGUGCGGUCGAUACGGGCAUCACUAGAGUUCGGUAGGGGAGACUGGAAUUCCUGGUGUAGCGGUGAAAUGCGCAGAUAUCAGGAGGAACACCGGUGGCGAAGGCGGGUCUCUGGGCCGAUACUGACGCUGAGGAGCGAAAGUGUGGGGAGCGAACAGG
rnacentral:rRNA from 1 species